CAGUAGCCGCGGUAAUACGUAGGUGGCAAGCGUUGUCCGGAAUUAUUGGGCGUAAAGGGCUCGCAGGCGGUUUCUUAAGUCUGAUGUGAAAGCCCCCGGCUCAACCGGGGAGGGUCAUUGGAAACUGGGAAACUUGAGUGCAGGAGAGGAGAGUGGAAUUCCACGUGUAGCGGUGAAAUGCGUAGAGAUGUGGAGGAACACCAGUGGCGAAGGUGACUCUCUGGUCUGUAACUGACGCUGAGGAGCGAAAGCGUGGGGAGCGAACAGGAUUAGAUACCCCCGUAGUCCCUGUCUCUUAUCC
rnacentral:rRNA from 1 species